AGUGGCGGACGGGUGAGUAACACGUAGGUAUCUGCCUCAAAGUGGGGGAUAACUGUUCGAAAGGGCAGCUAAUACCGCAUGUGGAACCAAAGCGGAGUCGCUUUGAGAUGGCCUGCGGCCGAUUAGCUAGUUGGUGAGGUAAGGCUCACCAAGGCAAAGAUCGGUAGCUGGUCUGAAGGAUGAUCAGCCACACUGGGAUUGAGAACGGCCCAUACUCCUACGGGAGGCAGCAGUAAGGAAUAUUGCACAAUGGGGGGAACCCUGAUGCAGCAACGCCGCGUGGGUGAAGAAGGCUUUCGAGUUGUAAAACCCUUUUCUGUGGGAUGAGAAGGACAGUACCACAGGAACAAGUCUCGGCUAACUACGUGCCAGCAGCCGCGGUGAGACGUAGGAGGCGAGCGUUAUCCGGAAUCACUGGGCGUAAAGGGCAAGUAGGCGGUUGUUCAAGUUGGGCGUGACAGAUCCGGCUUAACUGAGAGAGGACGUUCAAUACUGAGCGACUAGAGGGCRGGAGAGGAAAGUGGAACUCCCGAUGUAGCGGUGGAAUGCUCAGAUAUCGGGAAGAACACCGGUGGCGAAGGCGGCUUUCUGGCCUGUACCUGACGCUGAGAGGCGAAAGCUAGGGGAGCGAACGGGCUUAGAUACCCCGGUAGUCCUAGCCGUAAACGUUGGAUACUGGGUAAUGGUGGUCAAGCCACAGUGCCGAAGCAAACGCGUUAAGUAUCCCGCCUGGGGACUACGACCGCAAGGUUAAAACUCAAAGGAAUUGACGGGGACCCGCACAAGCAGCGGAGCGUGUGGUUUAAUUCGAUGCUACACGAGAACCUUACCUGGGCUUGACAUGACGUCUAGGGGACCGAAAGCGACCGCCUUCGGGAAGCGUCACAGGUGCUGCAUGGCUGUCGUCAGCUCGUGCCGUGAGGUGUUCGGUUAAGUCCGACAACGAGCGCAACCCUUGUUGCCAGUUAAAGUUACUGGCGAGACUGCUGGCAUAUAACCAGAGGAAGGUGGGGAUGACGUCAAGUCCGUAUGGCCUUUAUGUCCAAGGCUACACGCACGCUACAAUGGCCGGUACAGAGGGCAGCCAAGCCGCGAGGCGGAGCGAAUCCUCAAAGCCGGUCUCAGUUCAGAUUGCAGGCUGCAACCCGCCUGCAUGAAGUCGGAGUUGCUAGUAACCGCAGGUCAGCAAGCUGCGGUGAAUACGUUCCCGGGCCUUGUACACACCGCCCGUCACACCACCCGAGUUGGGGGCACCCGAAGCCGCAGGCUUAACCGUAAGGGAAAAACGUCUAAGGUGCGCCGAGUAAGGGGGGUGAAGUCGUAACAAGGUAGCCGU
rnacentral:rRNA from 1 species